rnacentral:misc_RNA from 1 species
UGAGACGUGCCUUUAAUAACUAUGUAUGCAAGUUAUGGUGAGUUGUUGCCUUUCCAGAUUAGAGAGAUGUUUGCCAGCCCGGGUUCUCAUUAUAUCUAAACUUGAUAGAACAGUCCAUGAACAAUCUGCAAAAGGUAUGGUGGGCGGUGGGGUCCUGUGGAGGGUAGAAAGAUAGGUUGAGUUAAUUAAAAGGAGUGCAAAUUGAGGUUUUUCUUGGUUUCAUUGGAGAAUGAAUGCUGAAGAAAUUUUCAGAUAUACUAAUUUGGAUUAUUUCAGAAUUAGUGGUACUUUGGGCCAUUAAUCGUUUUGGACAUUUUAUAAAUACCUCUUGAAGGCUGAGAGCUCUAAAAAAACCUUGAAAGCACGCAUCAUAGUAUAUAGCUAUGUUAAUUGUUGCUUAAGCAUUUGAUUUUUACUAUUUUGACAAAGAUGUGUACUGGUAGAUAUGCUUACAUCAGGCUAUUAAAGAGAAUGUUCAUAGAAUCUUCCUGAGUGCUGAAUAGGCUUUAAAUGCUGUUCAAUGUUGCACUUAUAGUCACUACCUAGAUGUCAGCUUGUUUAGUUCUGUUUAUAUCUUGCUGUUAUCUGUCUGUUGUAGGUGCCUUUCAUCAUUUUGUUCAUAGUUUCAUUUCCUGAGCAAGAUUUAAAUAUGUUUUCAUUUAUCCAUAAUUGUUGUAUGGCUAGGCACUUUGGCUGAUGAUCCAUCAGCCUUGGUGUAAAAAGUGAAGUACAAUA